rnacentral:rRNA from 1 species
UACGGAGGGUGCAAGCGUUGCUCGGAAUCAUUGGGCGUAAAGCGCGUGUAGGCGGCUUUCUAAGUCUGAUGUGAAAUCCCAGGGCUCAACCCUGGAACUGCAUCGGAUACUGGAAAGCUAGAGGGUGAGAGAGGAUGGUGGAAUUCCUGGUGUAGGGGUGAAAUCCGUAGAUAUCAGGAGGAACAUCGGUGGCGAAGGCGGCCAUCUGGCUCACAUCUGACGCUGAGACGCGAAAGCGUGGGGAGCAAACAGG